CAGCGUGGUAACUGACCCUGUUAUACAGAACUAUGCAGUGCUCCUAAGCUUGCUUUUUUUGAUUUGUUUUUGUCCUGCUGUGCAGACCUGGUCAUUUUUGUGACUACAUUCCAAGGUUCCAAGGUUCCUGUUCUCCGUGUCAUGCUCAGAUCAUACAGUGGAAACAGGAACUCGACAGCGUUCUGUUCCUCCUUCUCUGCCAAACUCAGUCACCGUGGGAAAGACCUUUCUCUCCAACAAGCCCUCAUCAACCACCAUGACGAUCCUGUUCCCCUUGGCAGUUCGCGUCCAGGUUCAAACCCACAUGCUUGCACAUUCAAUAAAUUGUUAAAACGC